UCUCCUACCUACGAGGCGCUGUCCCGGUGCUGAAACGCGCCGCCGCCGCCGCGGCGCUGUUGGGCUCCUGUUGAUGUUCGCCGAUUAAUGUCAACGAGCCGGGUUUGUUGUUGUUGUUCUUUUGUUUGGUUUUGUUUGGUUUUGUUGUUUGUUUGCUUGUUUGUUUGUUUCUUCAUGGAGGAAUUCCGUUCCACAUCUCUGCUUCUGAUGUCUUCUCAAAGUGUUCAUCAGAGAGUGGUGGUGAAAUUUUGCUGUUCCUGCAUUUCAUCCUUGAAAACAGUUGUUCACAGAUGUGCAUACUGCCAAAAAGCAAUGGCAGGAGAACGUCAUGACUGUGAAGCGGGGGAUCUUGUUCUCUGGCAAGACAGGUGUUUUGCAGUUCUGAUGAAGAGGAAUAUUUCUCUUUGGAGCCUCUUUGGUGCCCAGCCUUGCUUAUCUUGUCUGCCCUUGCCCACCUCUCCUGGGGCUGCCAGGCCUCUGGCUCCAGUCAGAGCUGGCUGCGUUGAGGACAGAGCAGUGCUUCCCCUGUGCUUCCUGCCAGGAGGAGCAGCUCUGCUGCCAUAGGCAGCUCUCCACACGCUGGGGUUACCUGACGGCCUCGUCCCAGGGACGCUGCCUCAACUUGGAAGCAGCCGAAGAACAAAGCUUUUACCGCCUCUUCUUGUCAACGGGACCUUCAGACUGAGCUUCCUUCUUUGCAGCGCUGCCCUGCGCCUUCUUGGCCCUGGAGAAAGCCUCACGGGGCACAGAGAGGCAACAACCUCUUCAAUAAAAGCACAAAGUUAAACCAA